rnacentral:rRNA from 1 species
CCUACGGGAGGCAGCAGUGGGGGAUAUUGCACAAUGGGGGAAACCCUGAUGUAGCGACGCCGCGUGGGUGAAGAAGCGCCUCGGCGCGUAAAGCCCUGUCAGCAGGGAAGAAAAUGACGGUACCUGAAGAAGAAGCCCCGGCUAACUACGUGCCAGCAGCCGCGGUAAUACGUAGGGGGCAAGCGUUCUCCGGAUUUACUGGGUGUAAAGGGGGCGCAGACGGCGAUGCAAGCCUGGAGUGCAAGCCCGGGGCCCAACCCCGGGACUGCUCUUGGAACUGCGUGGCUAGAGUGCAGGAGGGGCAGGCGGAAUUCCUGGUGUAGCGGUGAAAUGCGUAGAUAUCAGGAGGAACACCGGUGGCGAAGGCGGCCUGCUGGACUGCAACUGACGUUGAGGCCCGAAAGCGUGGGGAGCAAACAGGAUUAGAUACCCUUGUAGUC